AUUGAACGCUGGCGGCAGGCUUAACACAUGCAAGUCGAGCGGGGGAAGGUAGCUUGCUACUGGACCUAGCGGCGGACGGGUGAGUAAUGCUUAGGAAUCUGCCUAUUAGUGGGGGACAACAUCUCGAAAGGGAUGCUAAUACCGCAUACGUCCUACGGGAGAAAGCAGGGGAUCUUCGGACCUUGCGCUAAUAGAUGAGCCUAAGUCGGAUUAGCUAGUUGGUGGGGUAAAGGCCUACCAAGGCGACGAUCUGUAGCGGGUAUGAGAGGAUGAUCCGGCACGCUGGGACUGAGACACGGCCCAGACUCCUACGGGAGGCAGCAGUGGGGAAUAUUGGACAAUGGGGGGAACCCUGAUCCAGCCAUGCCGCGUGUGUGAAGAAGGCCUUAUGGUUGUAAAGCACUUUAAGCGAGGAGGAGGCUACUUUAGUUAAUACCUAGAGAUAGUGGACGUUACUCGCAGAAUAAGCACCGGCUAACUCUGUGCCAGCCGCCGCCGUAA
rnacentral:rRNA from 1 species